UACUGCCUACGGGGCGCAGCAGUGGGGAAUAUUGGGCAAUGGGCGCAAGCCUGACCCAGCAACGCCGCGUGAAGGAAGAAGGCUUUCGGGUUGUAAACUUCUUUUCUCAGGGACGAAGCAAGUGACGGUACCUGAGGAAUAAGCCACGGCUAACUACGUGCCAGCAGCCGCGGUAAUACGUAGGUGGCAAGCGUUAUCCGGAUUCACUGGGCGUAAAGGGAGCGCAGGCGGCACGGCAAGCCUGGUGUGAAAACCCGGGGCCCAACCCCGGGAGUGCAUUGGGAACUGCCGCGCUAGAGUGCCGG
rnacentral:rRNA from 1 species